UUUCGUAAAAUUGCUAAAAUGACUAAAAUUUGAUAAUUUAGGGGUAUACCAGUUAAAUUUGAAAACUGAGAGCAAAAUAUAUGGUGUCACAAGUAUUUUCUCAAAAAAAAAAUAUAGAGUAAAUGUUAGUAGUGUAAUAAUCAUUUUUCUGAAAUAGUUGUGUGAGAAAUUACUUCUGAUAUUGCUGUGUGGGAAAUCAGCUGAAGUGUUUGGUAAAUUGUUUUAAUUUUUAUUUUUACAACUUUUAUUAUAUAAUUGAAAAUAUAUAAGAAUUUAAAUAAUAAAUAAAAAUUCAUCUAAAAUAUUCAAAUUUCAAAAUAAUCCUAACAAAUUUAGGAUGAUAAUGUUAAGCAAUAGAGAGAGCCAAUCCAUUAUCUUUCAUUCUUUCUUAACUCCUCAAACUCAAAACCAGAAGAUUCUUGUUAAACAAAAUUAUUAAAAUGCUCAAACUGUCUAAAAAGUUGUCAACAACCAAAAACGCCUAAGAUCUCUAAUGAACUCUUCUAAGCGAGCUACCGCCUAGCACCUAAAUAAGCUGGAUGGCCGACUUUCAAAACAUUGCUAAUAAGGGGUUGUAAAGAAACCCUAGCAUGUUUUUUUUCCUUACCGUAUUGCUUUCUUAAAUGAGAACAAAAAUGUAGCACUUUUUAAAAUAUGAAAUUAAUUUCCAUCUGGUUCUAAUCUUCUAGAAGUGCAACAUGUUAGGAAAAAAGCCAUGUUGGUUUCACCUAACAAUUUGGCAUUUGACUUGAAGACAUUGGGGGAUUGGUCCCAACUCUUAUAAGAUGGGAGGUGCAAACUAGACAUUCCCUCACAAAUCUGUAUAUUGACGGUUAUCCGUAGUUUGUGUCCAAAUCACAUUUUUUAGAGCAGAAAAUUAUGGGAUGUGAAAUCUACACACCCCAAAUUAAAAUCCACACAACCUUUUUUCUUUUUUGGUAAACACAUUUUCAAAAAAACAAAGUUUAAGUCACUAAAAGACAAUUUAAGUUACCAAAAAAAGAAAAAAAGUGUGUGGAUUUCACAACCCAAAAUUAUAUGUGCGGUUGUUGUCAUGUUUGACGCCGCCAUCAUGUCCGGCAGACGCCCCGGCCCUGUCACCACAUGAUCAUCAUCAGCAUUAAUACCACCAAAACUGCUUGGAGAUCUCCGCCCCACACCGCCCGUAACGAGGACCACGAAGAAACUCUGACCUGGUAACCAGAU
rnacentral:lncRNA from 1 species